rnacentral:rRNA from 1 species
AGAGUUUGAUCCUGGCUCAGAAUCAACGCUGGCGGCGUGCCUAACACAUGCAAGUCGAACGCGACUGAGGCUUCGGCCUCAGUUGAGUGGCGAACGGGUGAGUAACACGUGGGUGACCUACCUUCGAGUGGGGGAUAACGUCCCGAAAGGGACGCUAAUACCGCAUAACAUCCUGCCUUUGAACAGGCGGAGAUCAAAGCCGGGGAUCGCAAGACCUGGCGCUUGAUGAGGGGCCCGCGUCCGAUUAGCUAGUUGGUGAGGUAAUGGCUCACCAAGGCCACGAUCGGUAGCCGGCCUGAGAGGGCGGACGGCCACACUGGGACUGAGACACGGCCCAGACUCCUACGGGAGGCAGCAGUGGGGAAUUGUUCGCAAUGGGCGCAAGCCUGACGACGCAACGCCGCGUGGAGGAUGAAGGUCUUCGGAUUGUAAACUCCUGUUGCCCGGGACGAAUGGCUCCGACCUAAUACGUCGGAGUGUGACGGUACCGGGUGAGGAAGCCCCGGCUAACUCUGUGCCAGCAGCCGCGGUAAUACAGAGGGGGCAAGCGUUGUUCGGAAUUACCGGGCGUAAAGGGCGCGUAGGUGGCCUGCUAAGUCGAACGUGAAAUCCCUGGGCUCAACCCAGGAACUGCGUCCGAGACUGGUUGGCUCGAAUCCGGGAGAGGGAUGUGGAAUUCCAGGUGUAGCGGUGAAAUGCGUAGAUAUCUGGAGGAACACCGGUGGCGAAGGCGGCAUCCUGGACCGGUAUUGACACUGAUGCGCGAAAGCCAGGGGAGCAAACGGGAUUAGAUACCCCCGUAGUCC